rnacentral:lncRNA from 1 species
CUCUCUCUCCAUCCUCACCAUUUUCGGCCAUCACCUUCUCUCCCUCAUAUCUCACUUUCCACCAUUAACAACCAUAGAUGAGACCUUCGGAGCUUCCAAAAAUUUUACAAAACACCUCAAUCCACUCUAAAAUCUUCCAUAAACACAUCCUAGCUACUUAUAUUCAAGAGAAUCCUUGAAGAAGGACUUCAAAGCUAGAGUGAGAAAGUGUGGGUCUUGGUAAGAAUUUGGGUAAGUGACCAUGUAUUCCAUAAAUCUUGCUUGAAUGAUGUUGUAUGUGAGUAUUCUUGAAAGAUUGAAGCAAGAAAAUCACCCCUCCCUUGUUCUUAAAAUUUUUGAAAAAAAAAUGGGUCUUUACCAUUCAAAAAAAAUUUCUUUUUCUUUCUUUGAUUUGGGAUGAAAAUUUAGAUCUAUGUGGUGUUUGUUGAUGAUUGAUGUGUGUUGUGAAAGUAUAUGCUUUGAGAUGUGAAAGUCGAUUGAGUUUAGUUUACCCAAAAAUUGGGAAAUUGUGAGUUGAUGAUUAAAAUGAUGGAUUGAUGAUGAAGAUGAGUCUAUGAGAUGUAUAUGAUGAUGAUUGAUGGAGUAAAUUGAGUAUAUGAUGUCAAUUGAUGAUUUUGAUAUGAGUUAGUUUAAUAAAAUUAGGGAUAUGUGUAUUUAUGCCCUAAAUUGUUAAUUGAUGGUUUAUAUGUGAGUUUAAAAGGUUGAAAUUGGUAGAUCAAUGAUUGGAUCAAAGUGUCAUGUGUGUUUAUAAAAUUUCAAAGAGUUUAGUUUAAUAAAAAUUAGGACUUUCUUGUCUCUGUGUUUAUUAAGUGAAUUGGCUUAAGAUAUAUGUAAUUGAGAACCUAUUGAGUUGAUAUCCAUGAGUUUUUAAAAGGAUUAGAAAGGAUUUUGAAUUUUCAAAGAGUUUAGUUUGUAUAAAUUUGGGAAGUUUUGGAUGUGAGGUUGAUUGAUGAAUUGAUGUCUAAUUACUCUAUUGAGUGUUUAUAUGAGAUUUGAUGGAUUGGAUUGAUGGUUGAAAUUGAUUGGUAAUUUUUGAUAUGAGUUAGUUUGAUGUAAUUUGGGUAAAAUUGAUUCUAUGGUUUAAUUUACUAAUUGAUUGCUUAUUUAUGCUACUAAGUGUACCAAUUUGAUUAAUCUAAGGUUGGAUUAAUGAUUUAUGUAUGUUUGUAGAUUUUCAAAAAGUUUAGUUUGUUAAAAAUUGGGACUUUGUGAUCUAUGUGUUAAUUGAUUAAAUUGGCUAAGUUUAAUUGUUAUUAAGCAUGAUAGAAAUGAUAAUUAGGGAUCAAUUUGGUUAAUUGUCAAGAAUGCCUAAAAUUGGUUAAGUUUAGUUUGCGUGCAUACAUGAGAUCUUGUAUAUAAGAUGAGUUAUGAGUCGAGCAUGUUUAUAUAUGGCUAUUUGAUGAUAAAUUGACAUAUCUCCCAAACCACUUGGAGUUUUUGACUCUACUUUUUUUUAUAUGAAACUAGACUCGAAGAUCUUUCUUUUGGUCUAAGUCUCGAGUCCAGGAGAUGUCGGAGUCAGAACAGGUUAAUUUUUGAAGUUGAGUCAGUGUAAAAACAGAGCAUGUUUUGAUGGUGCAUGAUUAUUAUCUCUUAUGUGAACAUGUGAAUUUCUAAAUGAUAUUAAGUUUAAGGAUGUUGAAUUCUUUUAUUUUGUUUGUUAUGUGGUUACGUGAUAUUAUGUGGUUAGUCGAUGUUAUGUUGGUUUUUGAUUGUUUUAAUCGAAAUGAAUUAUGGAUGCUAGAACCCUAAAACACUAAAGGAUACCCUAGGCACGUAGAAUUAGACUUUGUCUUGUGACAAUUUUCUUCACGAACUUACCGACUCUUCAUCAAUAAAGGUCCGGGCGACAGGAAGUGAAGCCGAAGAGAAGCGACUCCACGCUAGCUUAAGAACGUUUGAGGUGGGCAUUACUUUACUAUAAGUAUAUAGAGAUCCCCUGCGUGACGUAGGCCUCAUAUACGAAUAUAUGCAUGAUAUGUUUAACUAUUAUUCAGUUUAUGAAAUGCCCAAAUGAUAAAUGACCCUUAUGAAAUGAAAUGUUUACGAAAAUGAAAUGUUUAUGAAAUGAUUGACUGCCAAAAAUAUUUAUGUUUUAUAUGUAUCCUAUCUGUGUUGGUUCGCCAACUUUAAAGGAAAUCCAAUUGGGAUCCUAUGCUAGACAAAGGUCGCUAGCUAGGGUUAACGUGUACACUCAUGGAGACCGCGAGUCGCUUGCGACCGGUCUUGGCGUCCGUGGUAAGGAGGCCUCCUUCCCGGCGCGUGACAGAAAGGAACAGAUAUGGAUCAUAUGAAGGAAAAUGGGUCGGCCGGCCAAUCUUAUGAAAAUGAAAGAAAUGUUUUAGUAAGCGCAGGACUUUCAAGAAAACCCCUGUGUGUUACUGUUAUGGCAGUUCAAUUUAUAUAUGUAUGCAUGUUGUAUUUUCGGCAUAUGUCCACUGAGUAUUUUUAUACUCAGCCCUGCAUGUAUUUCUAAAUGUGCAGGUUGAGUAGCUGAUGGAAUGGAAUGGUGUUGAGCGGGUGUUCCUUUGAUCAUUUCAAGAAAUGUAACCUUGAGUAUACAUCUUCAUAUGUAUAUCUCACACGUUUUCCGCUGCAAAACACUUUGAUUAGGAUAACUCUAUGUUAUGAAGUUGUGACACGUGAUAUUGGAUAAACCACCUUAAUCAGUUCUCCUUUAUGUGUAUGUUUCAUAAGUAUCCAAAUGAUCAUAUAUGAUCCUAGCAUUUUAUCUAUGAGUGACAUUUUCAUAUACUUUAAUGUUAAGUAAUUGUCCAUUUCCGUUCCCACUCGUUGUUCACCCCAAGUCAUAACC